rnacentral:rRNA from 1 species
AGCUCCAAUAGCGUAUAUUAAAGUUGCUGCAGUUAAAAAGCUCGUAGUUGCAUUUCCGAGGCAAGGGAUUAGUCCGACCUUUGGUGGGUAUUUAAUCCUCUUGCCUCGUCCUUGAGUGGUGCUUCUUGGUAUUAAGUUAUCGAGGAGAUAGCCGCUCAUCGUUUACUGUGAGAAAAUUAGAGUGUUCAAAGCAGGCUUAUGCCGUUGAAUAUAUUAGCAUGGAAUAAUAAGAUAGGACCUUCGACCUCGGUACUAUUUUGUUGGUUUGAGAACCAAGGUAAUGAUGAAUAGGGACAGUUGGGGGUAUUCGUAUUCAGUUGUCAGAGGUGAAAUUCUUAGAUUUACGGAAGACGAACUACUGCGAAAGCAUUUACCAAGGAUGUUUUCA